UACGUAGGUGGCAAGCGUUGUCCGGAUUUACUGGGCGUAAAGAGCGCGCAGGCGGUCGUUCAAGUCGCGUGUGAAAGCCCCCGGCUCAACUGGGGAGGGUCACGCGAUACUGAUCGACUCGAAGGCAGGAGAGGGAAGUGGAAUUCCCGGUGUAGUGGUGAAAUGCGUAGAUAUGACAUAGAACACCAAUUGCGAAGGCAGCUUACUACGGGUGUAUUGACACUGAGGCACGAAAGCGUGGGGAUCAAACAGG
rnacentral:rRNA from 1 species